UACGUAGGGCGCAAGCGUUAUCCGGAAUUAUUGGGCGUAAAGAGCUCGUAGGCGGUUUGUCGCGUCUGCCGUGAAAGUCCGGGGCUCAACUCCGGAUCUGCGGUGGGUACGGGCAGACUAGAGUGAUGUAGGGGAGACUGGAAUUCCUGGUGUAGCGGUGAAAUGCGCAGAUAUCAGGAGGAACACCGAUGGCGAAGGCAGAUCUCUGGGCCGUAACUGACGCUGAGGAGCGAAAGCAUGGGGGAGCGAACAGG
rnacentral:rRNA from 1 species